rnacentral:rRNA from 1 species
UACGUAGGUGGCAAGCGUUAUCCGGAUUUAUUGGGUGUAAAGGGCGUGUAGGCGGGAAUGCAAGUCAGAUGUGAAAACUAUGGGCUCAACCCAUAGCCUGCAUUUGAAACUGUAUUUCUUGAGUGCUGGAGAGGCAAUCGGAAUUCCGUGUGUAGCGGUGAAAUGCGUAGGUAUACGGAGGAACACCAGUGGCGAAGGCGGAUUGCUGGACAGUAACUGACGCUGAGGCGCGAAAGCGUGGGGAGCAAACAGG